rnacentral:rRNA from 1 species
UCAGACGAUGCGUCAUGCAUAUCAAUAAGCGGAGGAAAAGAAACUAACAAGGAUUCCCCUAGUAACGGCGAGUGAAGCGGGAAGAGCUCAAAUUUGAAAUCUUAAAGGGUUUCCCUUUACGAAUUGUAGUUUAAAGAAGUGUUUUCUGUUGAGGUUUUGGUAAAAGUUCUUUGGAAUAGGACAUCAUAGAGGGUGAGAAUCCCGUAUUUGACCUUUACUUUCAACUUUGUGAUACACUUUCAAAGAGUCGGACUGUUUGGGAAUGCAGUCCAAAAUGGGUGGUAAAUUUCAUCUAAAGCUAAAUAUUGGCGAGAGACCGAUAGCGAACAAGUACCGUGAGGGAAAGAUGAAAAGAACUUUGAAAAGAGAGUUAAACAGUACGUGAAAUUGUCAAAAGGGAAGCGUUUGACACCAGUGUUGUUUUUCUGAAAAUCAAUUAAAGAACUGUUUAUGCUAAGUUGUUUAGACUUUAUCAGCUAACUGUUUAGUUUUGAGCUUUUCUUUAAUGCACUUUUCAGUUAACAAGUCAACAUCAAUUUCUUUUGCUGUAAAAAAGCUUGAGGAAGGUGGCUUGAGAUUCGUCUUAAGUGUUUAUAGCCUCUUGCCUAUGCAGUCGGAGAGAUUGAGGUCUGCAGCGUAGAUCCUUCGGGGCUAAAUGCAUUUGUGCUAAGUUAUAGCAUUUCAUAGACAACUUGUUGACUAUGAUUUGUCUUGUAGCUUACUCGCUUAUGUUAUUUUACCUACGCUUAGGAUGUUGAAUCUGUGCGAGACUAC